UGAAUACGAGACGCUAAGGCGUCGAAGUAGUGUAUGUCAUACUUCCAAGAAAAGCUUGCACUGUCAUAGAUAAAAAACGCCUGUACCAUAACCGACACAGGUGGGUAGGUAGAGUAUACUAAGGGGCGCGAGAUAACUCUCUCUAAGGAACUCGGCAAAAUAACUCCGUAACUUCGGGAGAAGGAGUGCCUUAUUCGUAAGGUUGCAAUAACAAGAUCCAAGCAACUGUUUAUCAAAAACACAGGUCUCCGCUAAGUCGUAAGACGAUGUAUGGGGGCUGACGCCUGCCCAGUGCCAGAAGGUUAAAGAAGUUGGUUAGCAAUUGCGAAGCUGAUAACUGAAGCCCUGGUGAACGGCGGCCGUAACUAUAACGGUCCUAAGGUAGCGAAAUUCCUUGUCGGGUAAGUUCCGACCCGCACGAAAGGCGUAAUGAUUUGGAUACUGUCUCGGAGAGGGGCUCGGUGAAAUAGACUUGUCUGUGAAGAUGCGGACUACCUGCACCAGGACAGAAAGACCCUAUGAAGCUUUACUGUAACUUGAAAUUGAAAUUGGACUUUAUUCGCGCAGUAUAGGUGGGAGGCGUUGAUUAUAAUCUUGUGGGAUUAUUGGAGCCAUCAGUGAGAUACCACUCUUGUAAUGUUAGAUUUCUAACUUUGAAUCAUUAUCUGGUCAAAGAACAGUUUCAGGCGGGCAGUUUGACUGGGGCGGUCGCCUCCUAAACGGUAACGGAGGCGUACAAAGGUUUCCUCUGAACGGUUAGAAAUCGUAUCUAGAGUGUAAAGGCAUAAGGAAGCUUGACUGUGAGACCUACAAGUCGAGCAGGGACGAAAGUCGGUCUUAGUGAUCUGACGGUACUGAGUGGAAAGGCCGUCACUCAACGGAUAAAAGUUACUCUAAGGAUAACAGGCUGAUCUCCCCCAAGAGUUCACAUCGACGGGGAGGUUUGGCACCUCGAUGUCGGCUCAUCGCAUCCUGGGGCGGUAGUACGUCCCAAGGGUUGGGCUGUUCGCCCAUGAAAGCGGUACGCGAGCUGGGUUCAGAACGUCGUGAGACAGUUCGGUCCAUAUCCGGUGUAGGCGUUAGAAUAUUGAGAGGAGCCUUCUUUAGUACGAGAGGACCGAGAAGGACAUACCUCUGGUGUACCAGUUAUCGUGCCAACGGUAAACGCUGGGUAGCUAUGUAUGGAGUGGAUAACCGCUGAAAGCAUCUAAGUGGGAAGCCCACCUCAAGAUAAGUAUUCUG
rnacentral:rRNA from 1 species